rnacentral:rRNA from 1 species
UACGUAGGCAGCAAACGUUGUUCGGAAUUACUGGGCGUAAAGAGUGUGUAGGCGGUUCUGUAAGUUUGGUGUGAAAUCUCCCGGCUUAACUGGGAGGGUGCGCCGAAAACUGCAAGGCUUGAGUCUCGGAGAGGAUCGCGGAAUUCUCGGUGUAGAGGUGAAAUUCGUAGAUAUCGAGAGGAACACCGGUGGCGAAGGCGGCGAUCUGGACGAUGACUGACGCUGAGACGCGAAAGCGUGGGGAGCAAACAGG